AGAUUGAACGCUGGCGGCAGGCCUAACACAUGCAAGUCGAGCGGUAGAGAGGUGCUUGCACCUCUUGAGAGCGGCGGACGGGUGAGUAAUGCCUAGGAAUCUGCCUAGUGGGUGGGGGAUAACGUUCGGAAACGGACGC
rnacentral:rRNA from 1 species